rnacentral:rRNA from 1 species
GACGAACGCUGGCGGCGUGCCUAAUACAUGCGAGUAGAACGCUGAAGGAGGAGCUUGCUUCUCUGGAUGAGUUGCGAACGGGUGAGUAACGCGUAGGUAACCUGCCUGGUAGCGGGGGAUAACUAUUGGAAACGAUAGCUAAUACCGCAUAAGAGUAGAUGUUGCAUGACAUUUGCUUAAAAGGUGCAAUUGCAUCACUACCAGAUGGACCUGCGUUGUAUUAGCUAGUUGGUGGGGUAACGGCUCACCAAGGCGACGAUACAUAGCCGACCUGAGAGGGUGAUCGGCCACACUGGGACUGAGACACGGCCCAGACUCCUACGGGAGGCAGCAGUAGGGAAUCGUCGGCAAUGGACGGAAGUCUGACCGAGCAACGCCGCGUGAGUGAAGAAGGUUUUCGGAUCGUAAAGCUCUGUUGUAAGAGAAGAACGAGUGUGAGAGUGGAAAGUUCACACUGUGACGGUAUCUUACCAGAAAGGGACGGCUAACUACGUG